UCUGGAAAAAAUGAAGAUGCAGAAUCACCUCAGGAUUUGGAGAGUGUCUCCACGAAUCUCCCACAGAAGUAUGGUGGUGACUUACGGUGGGCUGCAGUUCACAAACAAGAAUACACCAUAAAUGGACAAGUAGAAGCAGAAGAAGACCUAGAAGUGACAUCAGAGAAUGAGCAAAAGAGUCCUGAAGGAAGUGAAAAUAAGCAGACACCGGUUGAAGAAAAGGAGAAGCACAAAAGCAAUAAAAUGGCAGCA